rnacentral:rRNA from 1 species
ACUCCUACGGGAGGCAGCAGUGGGGAAUAUUGGACAAUGGGCGAAAGCCUGAUCCAGCAAUGCCGCGUGAGUGAUGAAGGCCCUAGGGUUGUAAAGCUCUUUUACCCGGGAAGAUAAUGACUGUACCGGGAGAAUAAGCCCGGCUAACUCCGUGCCAGCAGCCGCGGUAAUACGGAGGGGGCUAGCGUUGUUCGGAAUUACUGGGGCGUAAAGCGCACGUAGGCGGCUUUGUAAGUCAGAGGUGAAAGCCUGGAGCUCAACUCCAGAACUGCCUUUGAGACUGCAUCGCUUGAAUCCAGGAGAGGUCAGUGGAAUUCCGAGUGUAGAGGUGAAAUUCGUAGAUAUUCGGAAGAACACCAGUGGCGAAGGCGGCGUGACGUGACGUGGUAUUGACGCUGGAGGUGACGAAGCGGUGGGAGACAAACGAGGUAUUAGAC